rnacentral:rRNA from 1 species
CACAUAGGGCGGGUAGAGGGAACGUGGGGAAGUGAAACAUCUCAGUACCCACAGGAAGAGAAAGCAACCGCGAUUCCGUGAGUAGUGGCGAGCGAAAGCGGAAGAGGCUAAACCUCAGUUGUGUGAUACCUGUCAGGGGUUGCAGCUGGGGGGUCGUGGGACUUUUCGGUCAGUGCUGACACGCUGGCAUGGAGUCAGAAAUGCGCGUUGUAGUCGAAGGGCAUUGAAAGGCCCGGCACAGAGGGUGCUACCCCCGUAGACGAAACGAUGCGCACUCCAGAGAAGUAUCCCAAGUAGCACGGGGCCCGAGAAAUCCCGUGUGAAUCUGGCGGGACCACCCGCUAAGCCUAAAUAUUCCCUGGUGACCGAUAGCGGACAAGUACCGUGAGGGAAAGGUGAAAAGUACCCCGGGAGGGGAGUGAAAUAGAUCCUGAAACCGUGUGCCUACAAUCCGUCGGAGCCUCCUUGUGGGGUGACGGCGUGCCUUUUGAAGAAUGAGCCUGCGAGUUAGUGCUCAGUGGCGAGGUUAACCCGUGUGGGGAAGCCGUAGCGAAAGCGAGUCCGAAUAGGGCGUUUUAGUCGCUGGGUCUAGACCCGAAGCGGAGUGAUCUACCCAUGGCCAGGUUGAAGCGACGGUAAGACGUCGUGGAGGACCGAACCCACUUAGGUUGAAAACUGAGGGGAUGAGCUGUGGGUAGGGGUGAAAGGCCAAUCAAACUCCGUGAUAGCUGGUUCUCCCCGAAAUGCAUUUAGGUGCAGCGUCACGUGUUUCUUACCGGAGGUAGAGCUACUGGAUAGCUGAUGGGCCUCACCAGGUUACUGACGUUAGCCAAACUCCGAAUGCCGGUAAGUGAGAGCGUGGCAGUGAGACUGCGGGGGAUAAGCUCCGUAGUCGAGAGGGAAACAGCCCAGACCACCAUCUAAGGUCCCUAAGCGUGUGCUAAGUGGGAAAGGAUGUGGAGUUGCAUUGACAACCAGGAGGUUGGCUUAGAAGCAGCCACCCUUUAAAGAGUGCGUAAUAGCUCACUGGUCAAGUGAUUCCGCGCCGACAAUGUAGCGGGGCUCAAGCACACCACCGAAGCUGUGGCAUUGACACACUGCUCGGCCAGUUUUCCUGCGGGGUUCUGGUCCAGGCGUGUUGAUGGGUAGGGGAGCGUCGUGUGGCCAGGGAAGCGGCGGAGUGAUCCAGCCGUGGAGGCCACACGAGUGAGAAUGCAGGCAUGAGUAGCGAAUGACGGGCGAGAAACCCGUCCGCCGAAUAACCAAGGGUUCCAGGGUCAAGCUAAUCUGCCCUGGGUAAGUCGGGACCUAAGGCGAGGCCGACAGGCGUAGUCGAUGGACAUCCGGUUGAUAUUCCGGAACCGGCGAAGAACCGCCCAUGACGAACCUAGUGAUGCUAAACGCCCAAAGCUGUUGUCCAAGACCUUCGGGUUGAGGGUUUCAGUGGAGCGCGUGACCCGAUCUAGUAGUAGUCAAGCGAUGGAGAGACGCAGGAAGGUAGCCUCCGCGUGGCGAUGGUAGUCCACGUCCAAGGGUGUAGGGCGAGCUGUAGGCAAAUCCGCAGCUCACAUAGCCUGAGACCUGAUAGUGACCGCGUAUGCGGGAAGCAGGGUGAUCCUAUGCUGCCAAGAAAAUCUUCUAGCGAGGUUCGAGCCGCCCGUACCCCAAACCGACUCAGGUGGUUAGGUAGAGAAUACCAAGGCGAUCGAGUGAAUCGUGGUUAAGGAAUUCGGCAAAAUACCCCCGUAACUUCGGGAGAAGGGGGGCCCAGAGGGUGAAGGCACUUGCUGCCUAGCCUGAACGG